GCUGCGGGCGGGGGGGGUGCUGGGCCCCGCCGGCUGCCGCACCCCACUUCCCGCCUUCGCCCCGGGGACCCGGGCCCGCGCCCCGGCGGGCCCUGCGCGCCGUGUCUCUGGAACGGGACGGAGGAAGACGUGGCCUGCCGCUAAAUAUCUUAACAACUAACUGCGGGGAGAAAAGAUUCCUGAUAGCUUUUGCCAGUACCUGUGGUGUAAAUAUCCCCGCGGUGGCGGCGAUCAAGUUGCCCAAGGAGCAUCACUGGACCCCGAAUGGGAGGAGAGACAGGCCGUUCUGCCGCCUGCACGCUGGGAGAACCUGCUCCGGCGACCCCUGGAGGCGACUCAGAUCCCCAGGUCCAGACUUUGCUUCAGGAAGCAGUCACUGUGUGCGAAGAGGCUGUGCAGAGAGUCGUGCAGGGACCCACGUUCAGCACGCCACUCCCAAGCCUGCUGCUCUCCCGCUGAGUAAGAGCUUAAGGACGGGUGAUGCCGUGUGUCCAGGUGUGUUGGCCGGUGACGGUCCGCUUGACGGAAGCACCUCCAUUUGCCUGAGUAUCUGGUGUCUGGUCUGCCUCCAGAGCUGCUCUGCCCAGGCCUCCCUAUCAGACUCGGCGUCUACGCACCUCCGCACUCAGCAGGCCUGACCUGAGCCGACGGAGAGAAAGAGCCCCACGAUCGCCCUGUGAAGUCGGUACUGCUGAAGCUGCCUGAUGGCCAAGGAACCGAGGCUCAGCGAGGAGACGUGGCCGUGGUCACGGCGACAGAGCCAGCACGCUAACCUGGGCCUGUUGGGUUCAAUUCCUGUGCCCUCUUCCUGUUGCGCCGCAGAGGGGAGGCCAGGCGCUUAAACGAAGGCCCAGGGUAAGUAAGCAGAAGGCAGCCAGGCCUGGGGCCAGUGCGUGGCGCUGGGUCCCUCUGCUGGGGGAGGAGGACUCCGAAAGCCAGCUGCAGAGAGGACGUGGCUCCAUCCAGCUGUCCAGGGCCUGCAGCUAGAGUUGCAGUCACUGGGGUGGGGCCAUGCGGGGCACCCAAAGGAACAGUAGAGCAGCAGCCGCAAGGGAGGCUGGGGAGGGACACAGGUCCCAGGGUGUUGGGCAGGGCACAGCCGGGCCACCUGAGGGAGCCAUCCCUUGGCACCUGGGUGACGAGAGCUUAGAAAUGUGCUGUCAUUCGCACGCACCACAUUUUUUGGCUUGUCUUCACUUAGACUAAUCUACGUAUCAAAUUGCAUAGGUAGAAAUUAAAAAGUAGACCUUCCAGGUUUGGGCUGAACGCGUUUCACAAAACACGGGUGGAAAUGAUGACACAUCGCAUCCCUGCUGCCCGCGUUGCCACC
rnacentral:lncRNA from 1 species